CUUGGGUUUCAUCUGCCCCAGGGUAGGUUUUGCUGUCAAUUCUCAUUGACACAAACCCCUUGGACCAGCAGCCAGCUUCUGAUGGGAGGAAGAAGGCGAGAGCCAGGUCCCAAAGACAUCUGCCAAGAUGACAGCUUAUCCAAACAGGAAUCACAACCAUCUCUCUGAACGUUCAGCCUGAAGGAAGCUGGAGGGAUCCCACAUUGUGAACUAAACCACCAGGACGAUAUCCAUCAUGCAUGCUCUGAAAGUCACAAAUUGUUCACUGGGAAAUUGCAGCUUCAGAUGGGGUAGAGCUACAUCGUGCUGUUAGUUUAUGAACCAGUGUCACCAGUGGAGCUCGGUUACUUCCACCAGCUGAAGUGUUGGCCUUCUCUAUGUUUUUAUGACCUUUCUCAUUGUUCUUGAUUGCUUGAUGAAGACAAUAUAUUCCUUCCUUUGUGUAAGUGACCUGUGAUGUCUUUUGUUCUCCUUUUUAACAAGUUAAAAUCCAGAACAGAAGUCAUCACUGGCAUAGCAGCUCUCUUGGGAUAAGGGAGGGGAGUACUCCAGGGAGAGAGAACAGU